rnacentral:rRNA from 1 species
UACGGGGGGGAGCAAGCGUUGUUCGGAUUUACUGGGCGUAAAGGGCGCGUAGGCGGCCACCGCAAGUCGACUGUGAAAUCUCCGGGCUUAACUCGGAAAGGUCAGCCGAUACUGCGGGGGCUAGAGUGCAGAAGGGGGCAACUGGAAUUCUCGGUGUAGCGGUGAAAUGCGUAGAUAUCGAGAGGAACACCUGCGGCGAAGGCGGCGCUCUGGGCCGGUACUGACGCUGAGGAGCGAAAGCGUGGGGAGCAAACAGG